rnacentral:rRNA from 1 species
AACGAGCGCUGGCGGCAGGCUUAACACAUGCAAGUCGAGCGCCCCGCAAGGGGAGCGGCAGACGGGUGAGUAACGCGUGGGAAUCUACCCAUCUCUACGGAAUAACGCAUGGAAACGUGUGCUAAUACCGUAUACGUCCUUCGGGAGAAAGAUUUAUCGGAGAUGGAUGAGCCCGCGUUGGAUUAGCUAGUUGGUGGGGUAAAGGCCUACCAAGGCGACGAUCCAUAGCUGGUCUGAGAGGAUGAUCAGCCACACUGGGACUGAGACACGGCCCAGACUCCUACGGGAGGCAGCAGUGGGGAAUAUUGGACAAUGGGCGCAAGCCUGAUCCAGCCAUGCCGCGUGAGUGAUGAAGGCCCUAGGGUUGUAAAGCUCUUUCACCGGUGAAGAUAAUGACGGUAACCGGAGAAGAAGCCCCGGCUAACUUCUUGCCAGCAGCCGCCGUAACAC